GAUGAACGCUGGCGGCGUGCCUAAUACAUGCAAGUCGAGCGAACGGACGAGAAGCUUGCUUCUCUGAUGUUAGCGGCGGACGGGUGAGUAACACGUGGAUAACCUACCUAUAAGACUGGGAUAACUUCGGGAAACCGGAGCUAAUACCGGAUGAUAUUUUGAACCGCAUGGUUCAAAAGUGAAAGACGGUCUUGCUGUCACUUAUAGAUGGAUCCGCGCUGCACUAGCUAGUUGGUAAGGUAACGGCUUACCAAGGCAACGAUGCAUAGCCGACCUGAGAGGGUGAUCGGCCACACUGGAACUGAGACACGGUCCAGACUCCUACGGGAGGCAGCAGUAGGGAAUCUUCCGCAAUGGGCGAAAGCCUGACGGAGCAACGCCGCGUGAGUGAUGAAGGUCUUCGGAUCGUAAAACUCUGUUAUUAGGGAAGAACAUAUGUGUAAGUAACUGUGCACAUCUUGACGGUACCUAAUCAGAAAGCCACGGCUAACUACGCG
rnacentral:rRNA from 1 species